ACCUGUGAUGGAGAAGGUCAUCAAGAGGACGUGACCGCAGGUUAACCCUUGCGCUGAAAUUGGCAAUCAGAGGCUCCUCCCCCUCUCUCCCAUCCCCAGAAUGCCUUUUCUGACCUUGCUUUUCUUUGCGGGAGCCGCUUGGAGACUGCAAACUUAAGAGCUUAAUGUGCUAUUGAAAGAAACUCUCUGGAAGCCCUUUGUGAAGAGGAGCCAGUUUCGGGUUUCACCAUGGAAUUCUUGAAGCUUCGAGCUAAAAAGAGGCUUUCCUGCAUCCUGAUGUGCUUUAUUAAAGUUAAACCAAUGGAAAAUGAGCAGAAAACCAAGUGAUCUUUGC